UACGUAGGGUGCGAGCGUUGUCCGGAAUUAUUGGGCGUAAAGAGCUCGUAGGCGGUUUGUCGCGUCUGCUGUGAAAACCUAAGGCUCAACCUUGGGCUUGCAGUGGGUACGGGCAGACUAGAGUGCGGUAGGGGUGACUGGAAUUCCUGGUGUAGCGGUGGAAUGCGCAGAUAUCAGGAGGAACACCGAUGGCGAAGGCAGGUCACUGGGCCGCAACUGACGCU
rnacentral:rRNA from 1 species